rnacentral:pre_miRNA from 1 species
UCUUGUGGAUGAGCAAAGAGAGUGGUUUCUUGAGAUUGGAAUAUGCUCCUGAUGAAGAUGCUGUGAA